rnacentral:rRNA from 1 species
UAAGGAAUAUUGGACAAUGGAGGCAACUCUGAUCCAGCCAUGCCGCGUGAAGGAAUAAGGCCCUAUGGGUUGUAAACUUCUUUUAGACGGGACAAAACCCCUUUACGUGUAAAGGGUUGAUGGUACUGUCAGAAUAAGCAUCGGCUAACUUCGUGCCAGCAGCCGCGGUAAUACGAAGGAUGCAAGCGUUAUCCGGAAUUAUUGGGUUUAAAGGGUGCGUAGGCGGACUAAUAAGUCAGUGGUGAAAGCCUGCAGCUUAACUGUAGAACUGCCUUUGAUACUUUUAUUCUUGAGUUCGGGAGAGAGAGACGGAAUUCCAGGUGUAGUGGUGAAAUACGUAGAUAUCUGGAAGAACACCAGUUGCGAAGGCGGUCUCUUGGUCCGACACUGACGCUGAGGCGCGAAAGCGUGGGGAGCAAACA